AUUCCACCACUGCAGCAGGCAAGUCACUGACCUUGUGAGGAUUCAGAAGGUAGGUGGGCCUGGGCUUGGCUCAUACUUGGUUGGGAAACCAUAGAGAAUUCUAGAGGAAUA
rnacentral:rRNA from 1 species